GAUGAAGAACGUAGCGAAAUGCGAUAAGCAGUGUGAAUUGCAGAAUUCAGUGAAUCAUCGAAUCUUUGAACGCACAUUGCGCCCCUUGGUAUUCCAUGGGGCAUGCCUGUUCGAGCGUCAUUUGUACCUUCAAGCUUUGCUUGGUGUUGGGUGUUUGUCCAUUCUCUUGCAGAGGGACUCGCCUUAAAGUAAUUGGCAGCCAGUGUUUUGGUUUUGAAGCGCAGCACAAGUCGCGAUUCAACGCUAUACGCCAGCUUCCACAAGCCUUUUUCACUUUUGACCUCGGAUCAGGUAGGGAUACCCGCUGAACUUAAGCAUAUCAAUAAGCGGAGGA
rnacentral:misc_RNA from 1 species